rnacentral:rRNA from 1 species
GCCAGACUCCUACGGGAGGCAGCAGUGAGGAAUAUUGGUCAAUGGGCGAGAGCCUGAACCAGCCAAGUCGCGUGAGGGAAGACGGCCCUACGGGUUGUAAACCUCUUUUGUCAGGGAGCAAGAACAGAUACGUGUAUCUGAGCGAGAGUACCUGAAGAAAAAGCAUCGGCUAACUCCGUGCCAGCAGCCGCGGUAAUACGGAGGAUGCGAGCGUUAUCCGGAUUUAUUGGGUUUAAAGGGUGCGUAGGCGGGCUUUUAAGUCAGCGGUAAAAAUUCGGGGCUCAACCCCGUCCGGCCGUUGAAACUGGGGGCCUUGAGUGGGCGAGAAGAAGGCGGAAUGCGUGGUGUAGCGGUGAAAUGCAUAGAUAUCACGCAGAACCCCGAUUGCGAAGGCAGCCUUCCGGCGCCCUACUGACGCUGAGGCACGAAAGUGCGGGGAUCGAACAGGAUUAGAUACCCCGGUAACU